rnacentral:tRNA from 1 species
GAGGGUAGAGCUCAGUGGUAAAGCGCAUGCCUAGCAUGUGUGAGGUCCUGGGUUCAAUCCCCAGUAUCUCCA